CAGCAUAUCUUAUAUAUCCCAACUUUACAGAGGGUGAUAAAUACACAUCAAACAUCAAUAAUACAGAUCAACUUGGAACCUUUUCCCCAUUCUCCUUAUGGGUCAAGUCACGUGCAUUAACUACUCCUGGAUUUUCUUACCUAAGAUAUUGAUUAUAAAUGUCCAUCGGGACGGCAGCGAUAACACCUUUUUACCGGUGCUCUGCUCUGAAAAUCUAAGCCUACCACUUCAUGCGUCGAUAAUUUCGACGCAAUAAUUUCUAUUAUUGGACUUCACUGUCGUCACUUCACUCAUCUUUCUCGCUAACUGUACUCGACGUGCUUUCAACUUCAAACUACACUUCUGCUUCCCUCCUUCCUCCCACUACCCCGCAUUUGCACGUUCCAACCAGCGCUUCAAGGUUUGACUAUAAGAUUGUAAAGUGUUUUGUCGCCACCAGCUGUACCUAUAAGAGAAAAAGGACAACCAUUCGAAAUAAUGAAUAGGUUCCGGUUGCAGGUUCCGGUGGUAGAUGGCGCCAAAGCGCUGCGCUGGAGUUGAGACGGACAGCCGCGCGCGCGUGGCCGCCUUAACGACGCAGAUGGUAACUGACGUAACGCUUAGUUCGCUAGUGCGUCAAGUCAGUCAGUCAGCUAUAGCCAAGAUUUAAAAUACAUAUAUAUAUUUUUAAUGAUUUGUAGCCUAAACGUUUGUGUUGAAAGUGAGCUGUAGUUUCGUUUUUUGCCUGCCAAAAACGUUUUAAUUCUUUGUUUUACUGCUGCACCUUGCUUAAUAAAGGUGUAUGUAAUGCUAGCUAGCUAACAGCUUGCUAACUGUUAACCGUUUGACCGUCCCUGUUUGUGAGACCUGUUGAAAUGGAUGACCAUGAUUCCCUGGGCAGUAUGGACAGUUUACUUCUCCAGCUAGCUCUGCAAACCAGGGACAUCGCUCAGAAGAGGGAUCAGAUCAAUCAACAGAUUCAAAUCGGCAAAGCCAAUGUUGCUGAGAAGAAAUCCUACAUCAUAGGGAUCCAGAAAAACAUCAGGAAGCUUGAGGAGGAAUCUCAUCAUAAGCAGAACAUUGUGAAGCAUCUCAAAGGCAAUACGAAAAGUCUAAAGGGAACUAACGGCCUCCUGCUGCAGUAUGAGAAGACGCUGCAGGCUGAAUUGGAGAGGAGACGAGACAACUGUAAUCAAGACAUGAAAGUGUACCAGGAGAGAAUAGAGCGCUACAGGAAGGUUUUCCAGCAGCACAAAGAGAGUUACUACCAGAACCCUCUGGCCAAGCAGCUGCUGAUGAUUCAGUCAGGAAAAGAAGAGCUGGAAAGCAGGAUUAAAGUUUGUGAGGACCAGAUAACAGCCAAAGAGAAGGCUCUGCAGGAUCUACUAGGUCAAACAUUGUCCAUCGAAAAUCCAUUGGAAAGCAUCUCUGGUCUAUUGACGGCAGCAGAGUCUCACAGACAGUCAUCGGCUCAGACUGAGGAUGACCAUCAGUCUCCACUAGACAUCUCCUCCCUCCAUGUUUCCCAGGAUGGCCAUGAGAAACACGGAGAGGGAAUUGAAGAGCAUCUAGAGAAGACCGUUGCUCACCCUCCAUCACAAGGAGACACACACUGUGACCUGUGGUCAUACCCAGAGGCAAUGGGUAGGAUCUUCAAUGAUGGAAUACACGCUUCAGACCAGGAGGAGGGAAGUUUACUAGAGGAACAGAAGGAGUGUCUGAACACCUCCAGUACAGUGGGGAUGGAGGAGGUGAAGGAGAGGGGGACUGAGGGAGGAGACGAACAGCCUACACCCCUCAUUACUGAGGCGGAGGAGGAUGAAGGGAUGGGAGCAGCAUUCUCUCCUCAGACUCCUAAUAGAAUGAAAGCUGUGUCCAGCACCCCAACCUUCUCCCUGAAGAGCCUCCUUUCCCCUUCAGCAGCUCAUAUUUCAGCAGUGAAAAGAAACCGUCAGGAUCCAGAUCGCCAUCAGGCUUCCUGUUUGCCCGGCCAGAGUCGGAGAAGUCAGAAGAUGGAUUUGAGUUCCCCUUCAGCUCUAAGAGUCCUGGUCAACCGUCAACCAGCAGAGAGAAGGGAUCAGGGGCUGGGGACUCCUUCCCUUUCUCCUUUAACUUCUAGCACAUCUUACUGUAAAACUUCAUGUAUGCUUCAAAUGGCACCCUAUUCCUUAUAUAGUGCACUACUUUUGCCCAGGGCCAUGUAGUGUUCUAGGGCAAUAGGGCGCCAUUUGGAUGCAUCCUGAGAUUCUUCCUCGUUACUGUACAUGAGUUCCAUUUCAUGUUUGGUUAUUUCUAGAAAUAUGCAGAGGACUUCAACACAACUCUUUGUUGUUGUUAUGCACUGUAGAUCUGUUUUAGCGGUUGUUAAUAUUUACUCUAGUAAUUAGUUGAAUCAACUGUUGUAUGAAAAUUACUACCUUAUAAGAUAAAGUACCAUCUAGACUUAAACUUCGCUGUUUGUUCAUAAGUCAUUUAUAAUUAUUUAAAACUUAAUUGUAUUAAUAUUUAACUAAAUAAAAUCAGAUAAAAACAUACAUUUGUGUCAAGUUGGCUGGAUGUCCUUUGGGUGGUGGACCAUUCUUGAUACACACAGGAAACUGUUGAGCGUGAAAAACACAGCAGCUUUGCAGUUCUUGACACAAACCGGUGCACCUGGCACUUACUACCAUACCCUGUUAAAAAGGCACUUAAAUCUUUUGUCUUGCCCAUUCACUCUCUGAAUGUCACACAUACACAAUCCAUGUCUUAAUUGUCUCAAGGCUUAAAAAUCCUUCUUUAACCUGUCUCCUCCCCUUCAUCUACACUUAUUGAAGUGGAUUUAACAAGUGACAUCAACAAGGGAGCAUAGCUUUCACCUGAAUUCAGGUGGGACCUAACGAUGGAAUAUUAUCACAAUAC
ensembl:lncRNA